CAAUGGCACCAUAGAAACCAAAGUCACUGCCUAACAUCUUAACAAUAGAAACCAACUCCACUACUAAUUGACUGGCAUCAGUUGAGAAAGUGGACUCCUGAUCUCACGUCUAAACUGAAGUAUCAAGAAAAGCAAUGCCAAGUGUUAUUUCUACUACUCCGUGACUGAAGAAGACGACAGAAGGUGGAGAUAGACUUCCACAUGAUGAGUGCACUUAACAUACUACAUGAAGCUUCUCUGACAGCAUCCCGGAUUUCUAUUUACACGUCAGCAUUACAGGAUGCAACAAAAAAAUCACUGAGUAUCAUCAGAAUGUAGAAGAACCAAUUUGAAGCUGUAUUUUCAUUAGAAGCAACAAAGACCUGAUGACAAUUUCUCCUUCCUGCUUCCCACCCUGACCCCAUGAAUCCAAAGAAACUGUAAACUGUAACCAGCAAAAUUGUCACUUACCUACAACUAAAGGAACACAAGCGUCCAGAGCUCCGGUUAUGCACUGUGGUUAGUUAAUUGGGGACGCUGAGGUUGUUUACAACAGCAACAUAGUUUAUGCUGAGCCAGAUCUGUUUGAACCCCACAGCUGACUAGCCUUCCACAUGCACUAAUAUGCUAUAUUUGUACAGUGAUAACAUGAUCUGUGGUCUCAGAACAGAGACACGUGCAAGAUAAAAUAUCUAUACUGCAUGACUCAACAGUACGAGAAACAGCAGUGUUAAUAGACUAGCAUCUUACUUGAACUAUGGAAUAGUGAGAGAGCUAACAUUACUUGGAACUGUAACCUACAGUUAUUUAAACCACACACAGGUGCCUGUGUACUUUUCCACUUGAAAAUGUCAUGGGUAAUCCAUACUUGAAAUUAGUUAAAUAGUUUUCUGUUGUUACUGUAAAAUCCUUGCAAUUAACAUAAUUUUUAUAGACAAGAAACCUGUUAGUACAAGGAAAUGAAAAGAGAAAGGGAUAAGGAAAUCCCCUUCAAAGGCAAAGACAAUCAACACUAUGCCCAUCCCCUCUAUUUCAGAUCCUUUUUGAAGUUUUAUUAAACUGUAGGUAAAAGCUGUUUGCUGUAACUCUGGUUAUAAGGUUGAUAUUAGA